rnacentral:ncRNA from 1 species
UAUCAAUAUUUGCUCCCGCUAACCAAGACCUAUGGGAGGAUAAAUUACGUCUUUUUACCUGCAAGUGAGGGAUUUGCAGGAAUAAGUUUCGCA